rnacentral:tRNA from 1 species
GCAUGUGCCGCUAUAGCUCAGCCGGUUAGAGCGUGGGUCUAAUAAGCCCAAGGUCACAGGUUCGAUCCCUGUUAGCGGCAUAUA